GAGUUUGAUCCUGGCUCAGGAUGAACGCUGGCGGCGUGCCUAAUACAUGCAAGUCGAACGCAUCCCGUUGAUUUGAAGUGCUUGCACUGAUAAUUAACAUCGGAUGAGUGGCGAACUGGUGAGUAACACGUGGGUAACUUGCCCAAAAGUAGGGGAUAACAUUUGGAAACAGGUGCUAAUACCGUAUAACAACGAAAAUCGCAUGAUUUUCGUUUGAAAGAUGGUUUCGGCUAUCACUUUUGGAUAGACCCGCGGUGCAUUAGCUAGUUGGUAGAGUAAUGGUUUACCAAGGCAAUGAUGCAUAGCCGACCUGAGAGGGUAAUCGGCCACAUUGGGACUGAGACACGGCCCAAACUCCUACGGGAGGCAGCAGUAGGGAAUCUUCCACAAUGGACGAAAGUCUGAUGGAGCAACGCCGCGUGAGUGAAGAAGGGUUUCGGCUCGUAAAACUCUGUUGUUGGAGAAGAACGAACGUGAGAGUAACUGUUCACGUUGUGACGGUAUCCAACCAGAAAGCCACGGCUAACUACGUGCCAGCAGCCGCGGUAAU
rnacentral:rRNA from 1 species